rnacentral:rRNA from 1 species
UACGUAGGGGGCAAGCGUUGUCCGGAAUUAUUGGGCGUAAAGAGCGUGUAGGCGGCCAGAUAAGUCCGUUGUGAAAACUCGAGGCUCAACCUCGAGAUGUCGGCGGAAACCGUCUGGCUAGAGUCCGGAAGAGGAGAGUGGAAUUCCUGGUGUAGCGGUGAAAUGCGCAGAUAUCAGGAAGAACACCUAUGGCGAAGGCAGCUCUCUGGGGACGGUACUGACGCUGAGACGCGAAAGCGUGGGGAGCGAACAGG